UGCCCAAGGCCACUCUGAGAGAAAGUGAAAAAGCUGGUGGCGAAACCCAGGACUCUGGCUGCCUUUGAACCUCUAUGCUCCGAACCCCCCACCAGCCAUUCUGAGGGACCCUUUUCCGGCUGCCCAUGGUUACUGUGCAGCACUGAAGCCAUUCCUGUCUUUCUCUGGUGUUGGGCCGGUGGGAGGUCAGGGGGUGCCCAUGGAAGCUUCCAGUCCUGGAGAUGCUAAGUGGCGGAGCACCCUGACCCCGGCUUUAAAAAUAAGGAACCUAAAAUAGCCCUUCCUGCGCCUCGUCCUCGCUGGGGCCUUUGAUGCCGGCUGAUGGGGCUGGGCUGCCGUUUCAUGCAGCUCCUCUGGACAGGCCGUGCCGGGAACCUGGGCUGGAGGGCAGGCCCACCUCAGAGCCGUAGUGACGUCCUACUAAAAGCAAACGUUUGCUCCCGUCGGGAAGGGGGGAGUUGAUGGGCUUCGAACUUGGGCAUCAGGAAGCUUUGGCAGAGCUGCCCUGAGGAGAUGCUGGAAACGAAACAGGUCCUCCGAAGCGAAGAGUCCAGAGCCCAGUGCCUGACAGGUCCUUGGAAACGAAGAGUCCAGAGCCCAGUGCCUAGCUGCUCAGGAACGAAGGCCUCAUCCUCUAGAGAUGCCCAGCUUCAGUCUGUUGAGGGAAACCCACCUGAAGAAAGUCUCACUGGCAUGCUGAAGGCGAGCCUGCAGAGGGGUGAACAGACCUGGUCUUUGCGCAUCACGUGAGUC